rnacentral:rRNA from 1 species
GGGGAAACCCAACUGCAUAAGCAGUUACUGUUAACUGAAUACAUAGGUUAACAGAGCAAACCGGGGGAACUGAAACAUCUAAGUACCCCGAGGAGAAGAAAUCAACCGAGAUUCCGGUAGUAGCGGCGAGCGAACCUGGAUUAGCCCUUAAGCACUCGGUGAAGUAGGUGAACAAGCUGGAAAGCUUGGCGAUACAGGGUGAUAGCCCCGUAACCGACGCUUCAUCGAGCGUGAAAUCGAGUAGGGCGGGACACGUGAUAUCCUGUCUGAAUAUGGGGGGACCAUCCUCCAAGGCUAAAUACUCCUGACUGACCGAUAGUGAACCAGUACCGUGAGGGAAAGGCGAAAAGAACCCCUGUGAGGGGAGUGAAAUAGAACCUGAAACCGUGUACGUACAAGCAGUAGGAGCACCUUCGUGGUGUGACUGCGUACCUUUUGUAUAAUGGGUCAGCGACUUAUAUUCAGUGGCAAGGUUAACCGUAUAGGGGAGCCGUAGCGAAAGCGAGUCUUAACUGGGCGUUCAGUCUCUGGAUAUAGACCCGAAACCGGGUGAUCUAGCCAUGGGCAGGUUGAAGGUUGAGUAACAUCAACUGGAGGACCGAACCGACUAAUGUUGAAAAAUUAGCGGAUGACUUGUGGCUAGGGGUGAAAGGCCAAUCAAACUCGGAGAUAGCUGGUUCUCCCCGAAAGCUAUUUAGGUAGCGCCUCGGACGAAUACUACUGGGGGUAGAGCACUGUUAAGGCUAGGGGGUCAUCCCGACUUACCAACCCUUUGCAAACUCCGAAUACCAGUAAGUACUAUCCGGGAGACACACGGCGGGUGCUAACGUCCGUCGUGGAGAGGGAAACAACCCAGACCGCCAGCUAAGGUCCCAAAGUAUUGCUAAGUGGGAAACGAUGUGGGAAGGCUCAGACAGCUAGGAUGUUGGCUUAGAAGCAGCCAUCAUUUAAAGAAAGCGUAAUAGCUCACUAGUCGAGUCGGCCUGCGCGGAAGAUGUAACGGGGCUAAGCAAUACACCGAAGCUGCGGCAAUAUCUUUUAGAUAUUGGGUAGGGGAGCGUUCUGUAAGCCGUUGAAGGUGAAUCGUAAGGUUUGCUGGAGGUAUCAGAAGUGCGAAUGCUGACAUGAGUAACGACAAAGGGGGUGAAAAACCUCCUCGCCGGAAGACCAAGGGUUCCUGUCCAACGUUAAUCGGGGCAGGGUGAGUCGACCCCUAAGGUGAGGCCGAAAGGCGUAAUCGAUGGGAAACGGGUUAAUAUUCCCGUACUUCUGACUAUUGCGAUGGGGGGACGGAGAAGGCUAGGUGGGCCAG